CUUGCUCGAGUACUGAAAUCAAUGGGCUCAACUGGUUCUCUUGUGCAAACUUUUUCUUUCAUGAAAUGGAUGCGUUAUACAAGAAGAAGUUUCUCUAUCUCUACUUUUAUAAGAAGAAAUGGAUGCGUUAUACAAGAAGACGUUUCUCUAUCUCCACUCUUAUCUAUCUCCAUUCUUACAAGAAGAAGUUUCUCUAUCUCCACUCUUAUCUAUCUCCACUCUUAUAAGAAGAAGUUUCUCGAUCUUCACUCUUACUAGAUGAUCUGGUAAUUGAAAUCAUCUUGCAAUUGCACUUUCCAUUAAAAUCCUUAAUGGAUUUCAAAUACCUAAACAAGAUAUGGAAAGAACUCCUAUUUUCUCUCUUAUUUGCAAGAAUCCACUACCUUUUUCCUCUUGAAUAACCUCCUCCUAAACAACCUAAACAAG
rnacentral:lncRNA from 1 species